rnacentral:rRNA from 1 species
GAUUAAGAGCUUGCUCUUAUGAAGUUAGCGGCGGACGGGUGAGUAACACGUGGGUAACCUGCCCAUAAGACUGGGAUAACUCCGGGAAACCGGGGCUAAUACCGGAUAACAUUUUGAACYGCAUGGUUCGAAAUUGAAAGGCGGCUUCGGCUGUCACUUAUGGAUGGACCCGCGUCGCAUUAGCUAGUUGGUGAGGUAACGGCUCACCAAGGCAACGAUGCGUAGCCGACCUGAGAGGGUGAUCGGCCACACUGGGACUGAGACACGGCCCAGACUCCUACGGGAGGCAGCAGUAGGGAAUCUUCCGCAAUGGACGAAAGUCUGACGGAGCAACGCCGCGUGAGUGAUGAAGGCUUUCGGGUCGUAAAACUCUGUUGUUAGGGAAGAACAAGUGCUAGUUGAAUAAGCUGGCACCUUGACGGUACCUAACCAGAAAGCCACGGCUAACUACGUGCCAGCAGCCGCGGUAAUACGUAGGUGGCAAGCGUUAUCCGGAAUUAUUGGGCGUAAAGCGCGCGCAGGUGGUUUCUUAAGUCUGAUGUGAAAGCCCACGGCUCAACCGUGGAGGGUCAUUGGAAACUGGGAGACUUGAGUGCAGAAGAGGAAAGUGGAAUUCCAUGUGUAGCGGUGAAAUGCGUAGAGAUAUGGAGGAACACCAGUGGCGAAGGC